UACGGAGGGUGCAAGCGUUAUCCGGAUUCACUGGGUUUAAAGGGUUCGUAGGUGGGCAUGUAAGUCAGUGGUGAAAUCUCCGAGCUUAACUCGGAAACUGCCAUUGAUACUAUCUGUCUUGAAUUAUCUGGAGGUGAGCGGAAUAUGUCAUGUAGCGGUGAAAUGCUUAGAUAUGACAUAGAACACCAAUUGCGAAGGCAGCUCACUACGGAUAUAUUGACACUGAGGCACGAAAGCGUGGGGAUCAAACAGG
rnacentral:rRNA from 1 species